rnacentral:rRNA from 1 species
GAUGAACGCUAGCGGCAGGCCUAAUACAUGCAAGUCGAGCGGCAAGUUAGGUAGUAAUACUUGACCUAGAGCGGCGCACGGGUGCGUAACGCGUAUGCAACCUACCUUUUACUGGGGNAUAGCCCGGAGAAAUCUGGAUUAAUACCCCAUAGUACCUAAGGAUCGAUUGGUUUUUAGUUUAAAGAUUUAUCGGUAAAAGAUGGGCAUGCGUCUGAUUAGCUAGUUGGCGGGGUAACGGCCCACCAAGGCGACGAUCAGUAGGGNUUNCUGAGAGGAAGGUCCCCCACACUGGCACUGAGAUACGGGCCAGACUCCUACGGGAGGCAGCAGUAGGGAAUAUUGGGCAAUGGUCGCAAGACUGACCCAGCCAUGCCGCGUGCAGGAAGACGGCCCUCUGGGUUGUAAACUGCUUUUAUCUGGGAAGAAAAGUCCAUGCGUGCAAAUNGCCGGUACC